GACGAAGGGGGCUAGCGUUGUUCGGAAUUACUGGGCGUAAAGCGCAUGUAGGCGGAUUGUUAAGUCAGGGGUGAAUGCCCGAGGCUCAACCUUGGAAUUGCCUUUGAUACUGGCAACCUUGAGUGCGGGAGAGGUGAGUGGAAUUCCCAGUGUAGAGGUGAAAUUCGUAGAUAUUGGGCAGAACACCAGUGGCGAAGGCGGCUCACUGUCCCGUAACUGACGCUGCGAUGCCAAAGCGUGCGGAGCAAACACG
rnacentral:rRNA from 1 species